GGAAUAUCAUUAACCCACUUAAAAAUAUUUAUAAAUUGAACCUCAUCUUUUUAUUUUUAAAAAUAUUUAUAAUUAGAUAUUGACCCCUCAAUUUAUUUGUAUUAGGCAUUUUUCUUUUUCCUUUUGAUUCUAGAUUCAAAGAAGGGAGAAAAAAAUCUAGCAACCUUCUUUCAAUCACCGUCGUCGUUCUCUCUCCCUCUCCCUCUCCCUCCUAGGCUACUCGUUCUCCUUGCACCGUGCUUGCUCUACUAGGGCUUUUGUCCCUCUUUCACUCACUGUUGCUUGUUCUAUGUUCCUCUCCAUCGACGGUCUUGCUCUUUCGCCGCCGCAACACGGUUCCGCCGCCGCCGCCGCAUCACUCGGGUCCACCAAUUCAUUGGUUUUUGUCGCCUCUCUGUCCCUCUUCUUCACCAGCGACUGAUCUUUGUCCUUCUUCCUCCACCUCUGCCUUUGCGACCUACUCCUUUAAGACUGGCUAAGCUAGCUGUUGAUAAGGUCAUGACUGCACCAUGCGAGACAUCGGUUUUAUAUCCAAAGCAUGGUGGAAAUCUGCACUGUCUCACAGCAAUAACACCUUGUGCUGUGCUAGACAUUCUUUCACCUCCUUAUAGAGAAGAUGAAGGAAGGAAGUGUACUUACUAUCAUGAUUAUCCAUAUUCAACAUUCUAUUUUCCAGGGGCAUCAAGAAAUAGAUAACUGCUAUGGUCGAGGAUCUACUUUCUUUCUGGAUUCAACCAUUAAAAUCUGCAUUAGGCAGCUUCUGUAGCAGUUGCAACUUGGUGAGCAUGUUAUGAUCAUUUUCCUUUGUGUGAGGCCCAAGCAAACACUUUUUGGAGAGUCCCUCUACAUCACAAUUAGUGUAUUAACCUGAACAAAUGAAUGAUUGGAUGGUUAAAUUCUUUUCUGGUUUACCUGGAGUUCUUCACUCAUAGUCCUUCAACUUUGAGGUAUGAUUGCAAUCCGAGUUCUCUAGCCAAAAAGUUCGUAAGCAACGCCGUCUAUUGUAUCAUUGAUUUCACCAUUUAGUAUAUGCGUUUAUGUUCUUGAUUUCACCAUUUAGUUUAUGCGUUUAUGUUCUUGUACAAGAGUUUAUGUUCUUGAUUUCACCAUUUAGUUUAUGCGUUUAUGUUCUUGUACAAGAGUUCUGCAUGUAUGCUUAGUAGUGCUUGUAAGUUUUGAGACUUGUUUGUAGCUUUGAUUUGGAAAU